rnacentral:rRNA from 1 species
UGGGGAAUUUUGGACAAUGGGGGCAACCCUGAUCCAGCAAUGCCCGCGUGUGUGAAGAAGGCCUUCGGGUUGUAAAGCACUUUUGUCCGGAAAGAAAUCCCUUGCCCUAAUACGGCGGGGGGAUGACGGUACCGGAAGAAUAAGCACCGGCUAACUACGUGCCAGCAGCCGCGGUAAUACGUAGGGUGCGAGCGUUAAUCGGAAUUACUGGGCGUAAAGCGUGCGCAGGCGGUUUUGUAAGACAGGCGUGAAAUCCCCGAGCUCAACUUGGGAAUGGCGCUUGUGACUGCAAGGCUAGAGUAUGUCAGAGGGGGGUAGAAUUCCACGUGUAGCAGUGAAAUGCGUAGAGAUGUGGAGGAAUACCGAUGGCGAAGGCAGCCCCCUGGGACGUCACUGACGCUCAUGCACGAAAGCGUGGGGAGCAAACAGGAUUAGAUACCCUGGUAGUCCACGCCCUAAACGAUGUCAACUAGUUGUUGGGGAUUCAUUUCUUCAGUAACGUAGCUAACGCGUGAAGUUGACCGCCUGGGGAGUACGGUCGCAAGAUUA